rnacentral:misc_RNA from 1 species
GGGGUGUGGUGUUUGAGUUGAGUUAUGGAUAGUGGGCGUGAGCAUGGAACACCCGAGGUUUUCGGGUGUUGAUGCGCAGUUUUUUUCGAAUGUGGGUUUACUCAAA